rnacentral:rRNA from 1 species
CCUACGGGAGGCAGCAGUAAGGAAUAUUGGUCAAUGGACGAAAGUCUGAACCAGCCAUGCCGCGUGAAGGAUUAAGGCCCUCUGGGUUGUAAACUUCUUUUAUCUGGGACGAAAAAAGGGUAUUCUUACUCACUUGACGGUACCAGAGGAAUAAGCACCGGCUAACUCCGUGCCAGCAGCCGCGGUAAUACGGAGGGUGCAAGCGUUAUCCGGAUUUACUGGGUUUAAAGGGUGCGUAGGUGGGCUUGUAAGUCAGUGGUGAAAUCUCCGGGCUUAACCCGGAAACUGCCAUUGAUACUAUAGGUCUUGAAUUAUCUGGAGGUAAGCGGAAUACGUCAUGUAGCGGUGAAAUGCUUAGAUAUGACAUAGAACACCAAUUGCGAAGGCAGCUUACUACGGAUAUAUUGACACUGAGGCACGAAAGCGUGGGGAUCAAACAGGAUUAGAUACCCUGGUAGUCCACGCCCUAAACGAUGGAUACUCGACAUCAGCGAUACACUGUUGGUGUCUGNGNGAAGANAUAUAUCCACCGNGAGAGAGNGCGAGAAGUAGUAACGUUACAAUAGUUAGUUAGUACGGCGNGAGAGNGCGACGGACGACGACGAGGGAGGAGG